UCCCUGGUGGCUCAGAGGGUAAAGCAUCUGCCUGCAAUGCAGGAGACCAGGGCCCAGAUUUGAUCCCUGGUCAGGGAA
rnacentral:tRNA from 1 species